CCCCGUACGCUGCGUUCGUUUAGGGAAAGAAAACGGCCUAUACGGGCUUUUGUCUGAGUUGGGAAACCACCAGCCUCCAUUCAAAGGGGAAAAAAAAAAAAACCAAACCAAACUCACGUGAACGCACUGAAAAUAAUUGCAAUGAAUGGACAGGCUGGAAACACUCUUUUUUUUUAUUUUUUUUUUUUCUUUAGUCAGACCCGUGCUCUUAGGCCACGUCUUCUGUUGGAGAAGGGGUGGGAUUCAGCCGAAUUACCUGUGGGAUUAAUUACGUUACCCAGCAUCUGCAAGCUGGGGCAAGGCUGCGUUUGCAGAGGGCUGAUUUCAGCAGAGCCAUCAUCAGACCUCUGUGCUCAACAACAUGAGGACAGCGGGGGUUGGAGCUUGGCGAUCCUUGAGGUCCCUUCCAACCCAAGCCAUUCUAUGAUUCUAUGAAUGGCCGCUAUGUGACAAGAGCCUACUGACAAUGAGCAGACAACUGCUGAGACCCAGCAGCUUCAAUCUGGGGCCAGCUGAGAAGAUUUACAGACAAAUUAUGAAAGAGACAGGAGAGGAAAAACAGAGCUGGGGACUAAAGUGAGGAUCACCUCAAGUUUCACCAACCUGCAAUUCCACCACCUCAGUACCACUCACCUCUCAUUAAAUAGGCAUGUGGAUACACCAAUUGUCAUCUGCUCCUGGGACCAGCCAACAACACAAAUUCUGAUGCCAGUACCACCAUAAAAUAUUCCAGGAAAAGAAAUAUCAGGAAAGGAGGGAGAAACAUAACCAAAAGAAAAACAGCACAAGACUUCUAGAAUAACAGGGUGUGGUAUUUCUCACUUUUUUUUUUUUCCCCCGCUCUGUUAAAAGGAGUUUUAAAUGACUCUCCAGACACGUACCCUUCAGGAAAGAACAUGAAAAAGGAGCAUUCACAGGGAUCUUAGAAGUGUGUUAUGCAUAGAAUGAUCCUGUUCAGAUAAAGAAUUGCUGUGAUGGUGUACCGCUAACAAGUGGUUAGAAACUAACAUCUAAAUUCGGGGCUAAUCCACAGUGGUUUUUAGCUACAUCAUUUGUACUUCCUCCGAUGACAUACAUUCCAGCUUCUUCUGUUUUAUGGCAAUAAAAGCAAA
ensembl:lncRNA